rnacentral:rRNA from 1 species
AUUGAACGCUGGCGGAAUGCUUUACACAUGCAAGUCGAACGGCAGCACGGACUUCGGUCUGGUGGCGAGUGGCGAACGGGUGAGUAAUGUAUCGGAACGUGCCCAGUCGUGGGGGAUAACGUAGUGAAAAUUACGCUAAUACCGCAUACGAUCUAUGGAUGAAAGCGGGGGAUCGCAAGACCUCGCGCGAUUGGAGCGGCCGAUAUCAGAUUAGGUAGUUGGUGGGGUAAAGGCCCACCAAGCAAACGAUCGGUAGCUGGUCUGAGAGGACGGCCAGCCACACUGGAACUGAGCCACGGUCCAGACUCCUACGGGAGGCAGCAGUGGGGAAUUUUGGACAAUGGGCGAAAGCCUGAUCCAGCCAUUCCGCGUGCAGGAUGAAGGCCCUCGGGUUGUAAACUGCUUUUGUACAGAACGAAAAGGUUUCUACUAAUACUAGGAGCUCAUGACGGUACUGUAAGAAUAAGCACCGGCUAACUACGUGCCAGCAGCCGCCGUAA